rnacentral:rRNA from 1 species
GGCGAGUGGCGAACGGGUGAGUAAUAUAUCGGAACGUACCCAAGAGUGGGGGAUAACGUAGCGAAAGUUACGCUAAUACCGCAUACGAUCUAAGGAUGAAAGUGGGGGAUCGCAAGACCUCAUGCUCCUGGAGCGGCCGAUAUCUGAUUAGCUAGUUGGUGAGGUAAAGGCUCACCAAGGCCACGAUCAGUAGCUGGUCUGAGAGGACGACCAGCCACACUGGAACUGAGACACGGUCCAGACUCCUACGGGAGGCAGCAGUGGGGAAUUUUGGACAAUGGGCGCAAGCCUGAUCCAGCAAUGCCGCGUGAGUGAAGAAGGCCUUCGGGUUGUAAAGCUCUUUUGUCAGGGAAGAAACGGUAGGGGCUAAUAUCCUCUGCUAAUGACGGUACCUGAAGAAUAAGCACCGGCUAACUACGUGCCAGCAGCCGCGGUAAUACGUAGGGUGCAAGCGUUAAUCGGAAUUACUGGGCGUAAAGCGUGCGCAGGCGGUUUUGUAAGUCUGUCGUGAAAGCCCCGGGCUCAACCUGGGAAUUGCGAUGGAGACUGCAAGGCUUGAAUCUGGCAGAGGGGGGUAGAAUUCCACGUGUAGCAGUGAAAUGCGUAGAGAUGUGGAGGAACACCGAUGGCGAAGGCAGCCCCCUGGGUCAAGAUUGACGCUCAUGCACGAAAGCGUGGGGAGCAAACAGGAUUAGAUACCCUGGUAGUCCACGCCCUAAACGAUGUCUACUAGUUGUCGGGUUUUAAUUAACUUGGUAACG